GGCGGUGUAGCUCAGUUGGUCAGAGCACACGGUUCAUACCCGUGGUGUCACUGGUUCGAAUCCAGUCACCGCUA
rfam:Desulfotomaculum hydrothermale Lam5 = DSM 18033, WGS project CAOS01000000 data, contig: ABX_2590_15